UACGUAGGGGCCAAGCGUUGUCCGGAUUUAUUGGGCGUAAAGAGCUCGUAGGCGGUUCGGCAAGUCAGCUGUGAAAUCUCCACGCUCAACGUGGAGGGGUCAGCUGAUACUGCUGUGACUCGAGUCCGGUAGGGGAGUGUGGAAUUCCCGGUGUAGCGGUGAAAUGCGCAGAUAUCGGGAGGAACACCGAUGGCGAAGGCAGGUCUCUGGGCCACUACUGACGCUGAGAAGCGAAAGCAUGGGGAGCGAACAGG
rnacentral:rRNA from 1 species